rnacentral:lncRNA from 1 species
AUAUAUACACAUAAGAUUAAUUGAAUUAAAAAAUAUUUGAUAGUAAAAUUAAAAUUUUCGAAGGUCAAUAAUCCAGUUAAUAUUCUUUUAGGAGGAUGGAGGUUUUCGUCCUUCUAAGUCAUUUUAAGUAAUAGAGAUUUCAAAUUAAUGAUCAGAACAGUUAAAGUUGAUUUAGAGUAUUUAAAAUAUCUAAAAACUAAAUUUUAUGAAUUUUAAAAAUUAUUUACAUAGUAAUCAAAGAAUUACAAAAUCGACAGUUUUUGACGGCUUUUAUGAGACGUUUGCUUGUUUAAUAGUGGAGAACAAUCCAAAUAGUUUUAAAAAAAAUUUAAUGAAACUUUUUUUUAUAUUAUUUAGAUAAUGUUUAAUAACUCCGAUCAUGAAUUAAAAAGGUCUAACAUCUAUUUUCACAAGAUUAUUCAUUUUUGACCGUUCAUUUUUCGACUAUUUAAUGAACUUGAUAACGAAUUUUAAAAUUUAUAAAAUUUAAUUUUUAGAAGUUAUAAAUACUCUAGAUCAACUUAAACAGUUUCAACCAUCGAUUCGAAAUUUCUAUCAUCAAAAAUGACUUAGACGGACGAAAAUCUCCGUCCUCCUAAAAGGAGAACUCUCUCUCUUUAACUUGUUUUGUAAAAUUAUUUUCAAC